rnacentral:lncRNA from 1 species
UGCAAAGAGGAAUCUACAAAGGUAUAAAUUUCAACUCACUUUGUUUUGAGUUGAUUCAUGGUUCACCAAUCAACUAGGCUUUGAAUUUCAUGGGUAAUGUUUUGUUUUUGAAUGCAUGCAAGCAUGAUUCCGCCUUUUAAUUGUUAAAUGCAUGCUAUAGAUGUUAUUCAAAUGAACAUGUUUUCACAAAAUAAUCCUUCAUAGUGCCGCACCCUUUCAUUCUCACCACCCUCUACAUAUUUUCACUACACCAUUCACCCAAACAUCCCUCUUGUGCCGUGAGUUUGCAAAGGAGAAGGAAGGAGGAUCUUGGAGCCGUGCAUGCCAUUCAAGGAGCUUGGAUUGUUGGAGCGUUUCUAGGUGUUUUCUAUCUUUAUGUCAAUGUUUAAAUUUAUUUAUCUUUGUUUAUUUGCGAACAUGAGGAACUAAUUUCUUUGUAGUUAGAGGGGAAUUCAAAGCCAUGAUCAUAUGUUUUAUAUGACUUGAUUUUCUCCAGUUAUGAUUUCAUAAAUCGUGAAUGUGGUUUACUUAUCUAUUUGAUUGAUAACAUGUUUAUGUAUGUUGAUUGAGGGUCGACACUUAGUUUACAUGCAUGAAUUUGAUGCUAGAGUAUAAGGGAAUUUCACCUAAUCGUUAUUAACUUAUAUUCAUAAGUAGUAAAAGUCGCUAGUAAAGAUUGUGUUAAGUAAAUCCUUGGCAAGAGUAACAUGCGUAUUCCAUAGUUAUGAAUGC